rnacentral:tRNA from 1 species
CGGGGCGUAGUUCAGCCCGGUUAGAAUGCCUGCUUUGGGAGCAGGAGGCCGCAGGUUCGAAUCCUGCCGCCCCGA